rnacentral:snRNA from 1 species
GUAUUUGCUUCAGCAGUACAUAUACUAAAAUUGGAACGAUACAGAGAAGAUUAGCAUAGCCCCUGCGUAAGGAUGACAUGCAAAUUUGUGAAGCGUUCCAUUUUUUU